rnacentral:lncRNA from 10 species
CUUCAGGACUGAUAAUUAAGAGGACCUGAGAACCUUGCUGCCCAUGGUAUGGUUUCGGUUGGGGGAAAAAAAAAGUGCUGUAAUGCACAAAUUCUUGUUGAUGGCUCUGUAUUAGUUUCCUAAGACUUGCCAGAACAAAGUACCACAGACUGGGUGGCCUAAACAACAGAAGGGUAUUGUCUCACAGUUCUGGAAGCUAGAAGUGCAAAGUCAAUGUGUCAGCAGGAUUGGUUCCUUUUGGGACAUGUGAGAAUUUGUUCAGUGUGUCUCUUCUGGCUUCUGGUGGCCUCAGGUGUUCUUUGGCUUAUAGAUGUUGUUCUCUGUGUCUUUAUACCAUCUUUGCCCUGUAUAUGUCUGGCUCUGUUUCCAACUUUCCCCUUUUUAUGAGGACACCAGUCAUAUUGGAUUACAGCCCGCCCUAAUUACUUCAUCAUAAUUGCAUCAUCUGCAAAGAGCCUGUUUCCAAACAUGAUGGUUAAUACUGAGUGUCUACUUAAUUGGAUUGAAGGAUGCAAAGUAUUGCUCCUGGAUGUGUCUGUGAGGGUGUUGCCAAAGGAGAUUAACAUGUGGGUCAGUGGACUGGGAGAGGCAGACCCACCCUCAAUCUGAGUGGGCACCAUCUAAUCAGCUGCCAGCCAGCCAGGACAAAAGCAGGCAGAGGAACAUGGAAGGACUGGACUUACUGAGUCUUCUGGCCUCCAUCUUUCUCCAGUUCUGGAUGCUUCCUGCCCUCGAACAUCAGACUCCACAUUCUUCAGCUCUUUGACUCUUGAACAUACACCAGUGAUUUUCCAGGGACUCUCAGGCCUUUGGCCACAGACUGAAGGCUGCUCUGUCGGCUUCCCUACUUUUGAGGUUUUGGGACUCACACUGGCUUCCUUGCUCUUCAGCUUGUAGAUGGCCUAUUGAGGGACUUCGCCUUGUAAUCAGGUCUGUCUAGAGAUGUGGUUGGCAGAUUUAUGACCCCCAAAGAUGUCUACAUCCUAAACCCAGGAAUCUGUUGCUAAGACUGAGUAAAACAAGAAAAGCAAUGGGGAACCUCACUCACAUCCAUGCUUCCUUGUCUCAUCUGUAUGUAUGAUUUUUGCACAACUUAUUUGAUACUUUGGACAUAAAGCAAGGCAGGCAGUUUUCCUGUCAGAUACCAUGGAGAGUGAAUACUUUGAAUAUUUUCCUUUGGAUAUUGUGAGCAAUUUUCAACAGCAAUUAUUUAAAAUAUUUAUGAAAAAAACUGGAUAAGUCUGUCAUCUGAAAAACAUGUAGGUAGGUAUCAAAAUGUCUGUUUCUGGAGAUUGAGUCUCAUACCAGAAAAAUCCCCCAAAACAAUUGGAUGGCCUGCAUCAAAGCUAUUUAAAAAAUCCAGAUAGAAAGUGCUCCAGGAAUAUCUAAGUAAGGAGAAUAGGAGAAGAGCCAAGAGAGGAGGAGAAAGGGAAAAUGAGGAAGAAGUAGAAGGAGAAAGAAAGAGAAAGACCUAGAGAGACAGGGAGACGUAGUUGGCCACACACAGCAAGAGACCAGUGAUGACAGUGAGGCAGACAUUGGGGCCAUGGGGAGUUGUGUGAGCUACAGAAUGCCUGGCUCUGCUCUGAACAAGACCUGGAGGUCUUUACGUUUCUAACUGCCCGGGAGGGUGAAUGUCAACAGACUUUUGCAGAAGAACAAUGAGCUGAGAGUGAGUCUGAAUCAUUUGCCUUCCAUGUGUCAUCCAAUCACAGCUGCUAACACCUGCAGUGGCUCUGCAACCAUGAGCUGGGAAUAAUACAAAGUCAUGUUCUCACCAUACUUGCCCAGAGGACCUGGGCCUGGAUGGAAGAGCUUCAUUGUAGGAGAAGGUUAUUGACAGAUGAGAAGUAUUUAUCCAAUAUGUCUUUGUUCUAUGACUCUUAUCAGCCCAGCUAGAGGGAAGCCUUGAACAACCAGUCUCCUGUUCCUGGGCUCAUAUCUUUUUCUAAGCAAUAUGGCCUUCCCAGUGACAGCAUCAUCAUCCUUCUUCAUCACCACCACUAUCAUCAUCCUCAUCACCAUCAUUAUCCCCAUCAUCAGAGCAGCUACUCGUUAUUGAGCAUUUACUAUGUGCUGGAUAUAUACAUAUAUAUAUAUAUAAUCUGGAAAAUAACUGUGUGAGGGAGGCCCUAUAUACAUCCCAGUUUUGCAGUUUUGCAUAACGCAGGCUCAAAAAGUUAAGUAACUUUCCCAAGAACAAACAGCUGCUAUAUCAGAAGCAAGGCUCAUAUCCAUAGCUUUUCUAGUCCAAAGACUCUAGAACAAGCUAAAUAAAAUGAACAAAUGGGGUCUUCUAUAUCAGUUUGUCCAUGACUCUCCACCACUGCUGCACCCCACCUAUUUCAGAUCCAGGGACAUUGCCAAGUGACAAUGGGGGCUCCUUCCCUAAGAGAUUGAUUGGCUUAUAGAAAAGUUUGAAUGAAUCCAAUUCUAUUGUAUAUGAAUGUUCUUCACAUUAGGAGUCCAUGUACUUUCUCAUCCCCUAAUUUACCUGUACCCUCAUCCAUUUGGCAAAUAGUUAUGGAGUGUCUAUUUUGUGUCUGACACUAUUUUAGGUGUUAAGAAUAGGGUGUGAACAAAACAUACCAAGCUUAUACUUUAGAGAAGGGAGAUCAAUAUGUAAUAUGAAAACAGAAAUAAUUCUAUGAAGAACAAAAAAUGUAAGAGUAUAGAAAGCAAUGGGAGGUGGUGAGGGUGAGCGACAGCUCUCUGAUGAACAGAAGCCUGAACACAGUGAGGGCUGAGCUAUGAGUGUAUGUGAGAGAGGUUCAGUGCUGGCUUAAAGAAGAGCAAGUGCAAAGCCCCCAGCCUAACAAGAGCAUCCCUGGUGUGCUGCAGGAACAGUGAGGGCACCAAUAUUGCUGGUGAAAAGAUGAAGUCAAAGCAGGCACCAGAUAAUUUAAGACUUUGGAGGGUCUGAUGCGGAUUUGGAAUUUUAGUUUGCCAUAUCAAGUUAUUGGAUAAGAGAGCCAUGUUUAGAUUUACAUAUGACAACAAUCUCCCUGGCUCCAGCAAGAAUGCUGUGUAAAGGACUCACUCUGGAGACUAAACUGUAUGUGAAAUUUAGGACUCCUCUGGCCACGACUGGGUAACAAGCCAUGGAGACUUGGAGUAGAUGGUGGUAGAGGAUAGGGGAGCAGUUGUCAAACUCUGGAAAUCCUCUGAUCAGUUGGAUGUGCAGAGUGAGAGAAAAGAGAAAAAUGAAGGAUUACUUCCAGUGAGGCAUGAGACAGCCAUAGAGUGCAAUAUCCCAGAAACCAGGGGAAGAUAGGCAUCAAGGAAGGAGGCACUGAAACUUUCUCAGUGCUGUUAAAAGCUGAGGCCUAGUCCCUUUGCCCAGCUGCUGAAAUCCUAGCUAAGCAAUAGGAGCCAUGUGACAGGCUAAGUGAGAAAUGGAGGAGUUUCUGCGACCAGGACGUCCUGACAUCAUGUCUUUGAGCUUGACUGAAAAAAAUGUCAAUGCUGAGAGACAUCAAGGCCAUCAAUAGCCCAUAACAAAAUUCUCAAGGCCUUGGAUAACUCUCAGGGGAUACACUCCUCCCAGAGAAAAAAGUAUGGCUGUAUGCCUCAUGACUAGUGGGACAUCACCACAGAUCCAGUGGUCAGAAUGGACCACUGAAUCUAUUUUCACUCCAAGGUGCUUUGAGUGUCAGAAUACAAGAAAAUCUUGUUGUUAUUUAGAAAUACUGUUGUUUAUUAAGAGGCUCACAUGCAGUUGGAAAAGUGGGCCAAGUCUAAAAUCUAGAACACACUGCCUGGUCAUGAGCCCAGCCCCAGGUGGGUCACCUGGGCUCUGCAUGUUUCUGGGCAGAGUUAACCAACUUUAGCAUAGAUGGCUAGGACCCACAACUGGCCAUAAUAUGAUACGGAUAACUGUAUAUUCCUGUUCCUGAUUUUAGCUUUUCCUUGAGUAAGUUUCUUGGUUCUAAACUAACCAGAGCAUGACAUUCAAUGGAAAUUCUCAAGAAUACAAUUCUGCUCAAGAUGAUCUCAUUUCAAAAUAUUAUCACCACUUGCAGAGAGUUGAUGGGUGGGAGAGAGUGGGGAGCUUGCUUUAUUAGAAACUAGACCUGACCCACCUUGAACUAUGACAAGUGAAGCCUGGCUGAGUGUCUGUCAAUUGGAGUCCAACCAAUCCCUGUGCUGCAGAGCCCCUAUCUGGCAGACACUGUCAGCCUCAUAGGACAUCUAAGAUGUGUCUCUUCCUACAACACAGAGGCCAGCUGCCUUACUUUCUGUCUUCUGUCUCAUAAAGCUAUUUUUGUUCUCAGCUGGUAGAACUCAGUGACUUUCAGUUUCCCUAAAAAUUCCACUCACACAAAAGAAUUUGUAAACUAGAUGGAUUUGCCUGAAGCUGUCCUGGAGGAGGGAAGAGGUUUUUAUCAUAUACCUUACACCAAAGAGCUUUGAAAGCUCUCCUGGAUAUUUCUGUUUUCCCAAGUUUUUGACUUCCUCUAACUUUAAAUUCACACCCUGCUGCCUCCACUCCACCCCAGCUACCCUUUCCCAGACCCCAGGCUCCUAUCUCUUCCUCGAUCCCAUCUUAUCUUAUACAUAACAGCUUAGCAGCCAUCUCUUUUUAGGUAAUUUGAACAUGUUCUUGGAGAGUUCAACCCCCAAAUCAAAAGAUGUCCUUUUAUCCCAUUAUAACCCCAAACUAUUUUGCUGAUGUUUUCUUCCAUUUCUGAGUCUUUGUGCUCACCAAUAUUCAGACCUAUGUUCUGAACAACAUCAUCUUUAUCUUUUCCCAGAAUCCUGCCCUUUGAGGCAAUCAAUAUCUCUGACAAUUGUUAAGGCUAUUUGGAGUGCAAUCUUGCACAAUAAUAAAAACAGCCACUAUGCAUUGAGCAUUCGCUGUGUGCUAGGCACUCUGCUAAUCACUUGUACUAUAUCAUGUUUUGUAAUCUGCAUAACAGCUGUAGGAAUGUAGCUAUUAUCACUCCACUCUGUAGCUGAAGGAGCUGGGGUCAUAUCGGUAAUAAGACACAGAGCCUACUGUGGCCUAAGCGUGCUGUUACUGGAAAGAUAAGAAUCAAAGGUACAUGCCCUUCUGUCCAGAAGAGUCCUCUCACCCCUAGGAGGCCAGGAAACAUCACUCCCUGCCCUGAUAUUCAGGGAACAGGAAAAAGGCAGGAAAGAGGCCUUUGCUCCUGGGUUCUAUGUAGUGAAGCAAAUUUCUUAUUUUUUGAGCCAGGUUGCUUUCUUUUUUAAUCAUAGACUAGGGGUACUGUGUGUUCCAUGAACAAUCAUCUUACUGACAUGUUAUUCUGAAGCUUGACUUCAUUCACCGUGACACAUGCUGGUUAUGAAAUACGCAACGGAAUAGAGUUGUAAUGAAGUGAGGCUGGGGAAGGAUUAAAUUAGAAUCUGAACUAAUGCCAGCUAAGAGACCCUACCUCCACUUUAUUAUUAUUAUUGUGUUUAAUAAACAAUCAUUCAUGCUCCGAGGAAAGGGAAACAAUCAGAAACCCAGCAGGGGAGCCAUAAAAUAAAUGUUUAAACCUUGAAUAAAAACAUGUUUGUUCAAACCCAGAGCCGGUCUCUUUUUAUUCAAAAUGAAUGCAGUGAGUUCUCCAACACCUAGAGGUGUUGAGAGGCAUGCAAGUGGAAUUUCAGUUGCAGGGAGGGCUCACCUUUCCCAUCCUCC